CAGGACCCAAAAAUUACAUGCUAAAUUCCACAGUAGGAAGAAUGCCUAAUUAGUUCUCUGUGUCUACAAGAUUUCAAAUAAAGGAAUUUUACUUAAGUGAUUCUAAGACAUUCUUCUUAUAUUGAAUAAUAUUCCAUUUGGUAGCAACCUCUUUCUGGAGAUAAUUGGCCAAUAUGUGAUUACUUACGACACAUGCUUAAUUGAGUAUUCCAGUAUCUUUUUAGUUAAGAGUCGUUGAUAAACAAUUAAGUGAUAAUUCCAAGUUAAUUUUUACAUAUUUGAAUUCUAUUCAAAGAACCAUCUCAAAAAAGUUCAAGAAAUGUAUUCAGUACUGUUACACUCUAGUUGUUACAAGCUCAUAAGUUUUUCUAAGGAUUAUGGUUGAGAAGGGGUAGAGAAAUAAAUACCAAUAGUAUGAGAGAAAUGCUAGACAGUCUUAUCUACGCAAUUGACUUCACCCUGACAGGUGAAGUCAGGCUUUUUUACUUGUAUUCACAAGUAUAAAGCCUGGCCUCUCUGCACAUAAGCACAUAUUUGUGUUUAUUCUUAUAUAUAUCAUAUAUAUGAGUUCUCCUUCCACUCUGGAAUCACUCUCUUAUUCUUCAAACCUUACCUCUUACCCCUAAAGAGUAUGGAAUGAAUGAAGAAAUCAGGCUAUUACAACAUUAUAAGGUUGUGCUAGAAACACCUUAAGGAGUCAUGACCUGUUUGUUAGAAAUUAAUCACUACCUACCUGUGUGCAGUAGGUAGUGACUAAUUUCUAAAUCUAAAACCAGGUACAAAAGGAAAACCCGCGGCUCAGAGAUAAUGCUGGAUGUUUCAGAACCCAAUUAAAACACUUACAAAAUGGGAAGCUAUUAUGAACAUUACACUUUAGAAUUCUGUUAAAAGACCUUCAGUUUUCCAACGCCCAGGAAAAUCAUAAUAUUUCAAGAGAAAAAACCUUAGACAAUUACCACCUCUAAUAAAAACUCAC
rnacentral:lncRNA from 1 species